rnacentral:rRNA from 1 species
GACGAACGCUGGCGGCGUGCUUAACACAUGCAAGUCGAGCGGUAAGGCUCCUUCGGGGGUACACGAGCGGCGAACGGGUGAGUAACACGUGAGUAAUCUGCCCUUCACUUCGGGAUAGCUUCGGGAAACCGAAAUUAAUACCGGAAACGACCAGCCUCUGCAUGGAGUGUUGGUGGGAAGUUUUUUCGGUGGGGGAUGUGCUCGCGGCCUAUCAGCUUGUUGGUGGAGUAAUGGCCUACCAAGGCUUCGACGGGUAGCCGGCCUGAGAGGGUGACCGGCCACACUGGGACUGAGACACGGCCCAGACUCCUACGGGAGGCAGCAGUGGGGAAUCUUGCACAAUGGGCGCAAGCCUGAUGCAGCGACGCCGCGUGAGGGAUGAAGGCCCUCGGGUUGUAAACCUCUUUCGGCAGGGAAGAAGCGCAAGUGACGGUACCUGCAGAAGAAGUCCCGGCUAACUACGUGCCAGCCGCCGCCGUAAUAC